rnacentral:rRNA from 1 species
AUGAACGCUGGCGGCGUGCCUAAUACAUGCAAGUCGAGCGAACAGAUGAGGAGCUUGCUCCUCUGACGUUCGCGGCGGACGGGUGAGUAACACGUGGAUAACCUACCUAUAAGACUGGGAUAACUUCGGGAAACCGGAGCUAAUACCGGAUAAUAUAUUGAACCGCAUGGUUCAAUAGUGAAAGACGGUUUUGCUGUCACUUAUAGAUGGAUCCGCGCCGCAUUAGCUAGUUGGUAAGGUAACGGCUUACCAAGGCAACGAUGCGUAGCCGACCUGAGAGGGUGAUCGGCCACACUGGAACUGAGACACGGUCCAGACUCCUACGGGAGGCAGCAGUAGGGAAUCUUCCGCAAAGGGCGAAAGCCUGACGGAGCAACGCCGCGUGAGUGAUGAAGGUCUUCGGAUCGUAAAACUCUGUUAUUAGGGAAGAACAAAUGUGUAAGUAACUAUGCACGUCUUGACGGUACCUAAUCAGAAAGCCACGGCUAACUACGUG